rnacentral:rRNA from 1 species
GCAAGUCGAACGGCAGCACGGGAGCAGUCCUGGUGGCGAGUGGCGAACGGGUGAGUAAUACAUCGGAACGUGCCCUGUCGUGGGGGAUAACUAGUCGAAAGAUUAGCUAAUACCGCAUACGACCUGAGGGUGAAAGCGGGGGACCGUAAGGCCUCGCGCGAUAGGAGCGGCCGAUGUCUGAUUAGCUAGUUGGUGGGGUAAAGGCCCACCAAGGCGACGAUCAGUAGCUGGUCUGAGAGGACGAUCAGCCACACUGGGACUGAGACACGGCCCAGACUCCUACGGGAGGCAGCAGUGGGGAAUUUUGGACAAUGGGGGCAACCCUGAUCCAGCAAUGCCGCGUGUGUGAAGAAGGCCUUCGGGUUGUAAAGCACUUUUGUCCGGAAAGAAAUCCCUUGCCCUAAUACGGCGGGGGGAUGACGGUACCGGAAGAAUAAGCACCGGCUAACUACGUGCCACCAGCCGCGGUAAUACCUAGAGGUGCGAGCGUUAAUCGGAAUUACUGGGCGUAAAGCGUGCGCAUGCGGUUUUGUAAGACAGGCGUGAAAUCCCCGAGCUCAACUUGGGAAUGGCGCUUGUGACUG